rnacentral:rRNA from 1 species
GAAGAACCUUACCACCCCUUGACAUCCUCGGAACUGCCUGGAGACAGGCAGGUGCCUUCGGGAACCGAGUGACAGGUGCUGCAUGGCUGUCGUCAGCUCGUGUCGUGAGAUGUUGGGUUAAGUCCCGUAACGAGCGCAACCCUUGUCCUUAUUUGCCAGCGGGUCAGGCCGGGAACUCUAGGGAGACUGCCGGUGACAAACCGGAGGAAGGUGGGGAUGACGUCAAGUCAUCAUGGCCCUCACGGGGUGGGCUACAAACGUGCUACAAUGGGCGGCACAGAGGGAUGGGAACCAGCAAUGGCAAGCGAAUCCCAAAAAACCGCUCGUAGUCCGGAUAGGAGUCUGCAACUCGACUCCUUGAAGUCGGAAUCGCUAGUAAUCGCGAAUCAGAA